rnacentral:rRNA from 1 species
CCUACGGGAGGCAGCAGUGAGGAAUAUUGCUCAAUGGGGGAAACCCUGAAGCAGCAACGCCGCGUGGAGGAUGAAGGUUUUCGGAUUGUAAACUCCUUUUGUUAGAGAAGAUAAUGACGGUAUCUAACGAAUAAGCACCGGCUAACUCCGUGCCAGCAGCCGCGGUAAUACGGAGGGUGCAAGCGUUACUCGGAAUCACUGGGCGUAAAGGGCGCGUAGGCGGGAUAGCAAGUCAGAUGUGAAAUCCUAUGGCUUAACCAUAGAACUGCAUUUGAAACUGUUAUUCUAGAGUAUGGGAGAGGUAGGUGGAAUUCGUGGUGUAGGUGUAAAAUCCGUAGAGAUCAAGAGGAAUACUCAUUGCGAAGGCGACCUGCUAGAACAUAACUGACGCUGAUGCGCGAAAGCGUGGGGAGCAAACAGGAUUAGAUACCCUAGUAGUC